UAAGGAAUAUUGGUCAAUGGAGGCAACUCUGAACCAGCCAUGCCGCGUGCAGGAAGACGGCCCUCUGGGUUGUAAACUGCUUUUAUUCGGGAAUAAACCUAUCUACGUGUAGAUAGCUGAAUGUACCGAAGGAAUAAGGAUCGGCUAACUCCGUGCCAGCAGCCGCGGUAAUACGGAGGAUCCAAGCGUUAUCCGGAUUUAUUGGGUUUAAAGGGUGCGUAGGCGGCCUAUUAAGUCAGGGGUGAAGGACGGUAGCUCAACUAUCGCAGUGCCCUUGAUACUGAUGAGCUUGAAUGAACUAGAGGUAGGCGGAAUGUGACAAGUAGCGGUGAAAUGCAUAGAUAUGUCACAGAACACCGAUUGCGAAGGCAGCUUACUAUGGUUUUAUUGGCGCUGAGGCACGAAAGCGUGGGGAUCAAACA
rnacentral:rRNA from 1 species